ACGAAGGGGGCUAGCGUUGCUCGGAAUCACUGGGCGUAAAGCGUGCGCAGGCGGCGCCAUAAGACAGCUGUGAAAUCCCCGGGCUUAACCUGGGAACUGCGUUUGUGACUGUAGGGCUUGAGUGCGGCAGAGGGGGGUGGAAUUCCACGUGUAGCAGUGAAAUGCGUAGAGAUGUGGAGGAACACCGAUGGCGAAGGCAGCCCCCUGGGUCGACACUGACGCUCAUGCACGAAAGCGUGGGGAGCAAACAG
rnacentral:rRNA from 1 species